rnacentral:rRNA from 1 species
CAGCCGCCACGGGAAUACGAAGGGUGCAAGCGUUAAUCGGAAUUACUGGGCGUAAAGCGUGUGUAGGUGGUUGUUUAAGUCUGUCGUGAAAGCCCUGGGCUCAACCUGGGAAUUGCGAUGGAUACUGGGCGACUAGAGUGCGGUAGAGGAUAGUGGAAUUUCCGGUGUAGCAGUGAAAUGCGUAGAGAUCGGAAGGAACAUCUGUGGCGAAGGCGACUAUCUGGGCCAACACUGACACUGAGACACGAAAGCGUGGGGAGCAAACAGGAUUAGAUACCCCCGUAGUCCCUGUCUCUUAAAC